rnacentral:lncRNA from 1 species
UCUGUCCCUCCCUUGUCAUGGAGCUCAGAGCCCUGGCCAUUAGUAGACUCCUGUCCCUGUUUUCCUCUAGCAAGUUUCUCUCAUGGAGGGCAAAGGCUGUUUGUGUUCUUUCUGGUACAUUUCACAUGUAAUGUACACCACAACAGUGGCCUAAGCAUCCGUCUUAAAAUUCUUUCCCCCCCUUGUUUUUUUACUUCCAUCUAAUCUCUGCCUUAGAUUUCUUUAAAGGGUUUAAUUGCCUUUGCAUCACCUAAGAUCAUCAUUUGAAAAAAAUAUUGCUUAAAAAUUUCUGGCCCCAAAACUGGCCAUAAACAAAAUCUCUGCAGCACUGUUGACAUGAUCAUGAUGGCCAUGAUGCCCACGCUGAAGGUUGUGGGUUUACCCAGGGUGGAAAACCACUUAAAGGGUUCCGCAUGGCUGGGGAGGCCUCAGGACACUUAUAAUAAUGGUAGAAGGGGAAGUAAACAUGUCUUUCUUCACAUGACAGCAGGAAGGAGAGGUUUAA